rnacentral:rRNA from 1 species
UACGGAGGGUGCGAGCGUUGUCCGGAAUCAUUGGGCGUAAAGGGCGCGUAGGUGGCCCGGUCAGUCUUUGGUGAAAGCGCGGGGCUCAACCCUGCGUCGGCCAGGGAUACUGCCGCGGCUCGAGCACUGUAGAGGCAGGCGGAAUUCCGGGUGUAGCGGUGAAAUGCGUAGAGAUCAGGAGGAACACCUGUGGUGUAGACAGCUUACUGGACCACGACUGACGCUGAGACACGAAAGCGUGGGUAGCAAACAGG